GGAUCCACCUCCCCGGAUUGCUUAUCAGGAACGUGUUCCUUGGACUGUUACCUGCACAAAUAAUCAGCACACUUCCUUGGAACAGGACACACGGUGUUUACUAGCUGAGGGAUCAACAUGCCGAGGAUCCUGGGAAUAGAGUUAGCUCCCCUCCACAUACCGAUGGAGCGGCGACUACAGACUCUGGCUGUGCAGCAAUGGACGCUAUCCUUCUUGUUCCUGGGCUUUGGAUGUCUGAUUCUGAUGAUUUACCUAUUGUUCACGUCAUUAUACUGGAUUCCUCUAUGUUACCUGGUGUACUACCUGUACGACAGGAAGACCUCGGCCCGAGGCGGCAGAAGAUGGCAGUGGAUCCGGGAAUGGCCCGUUUGGAAAUACUUUCAGCAAUACUUUCCUAUUACCUUGAUUAAAACAGUGGAGUUAGACCCAAAGAAGAACUAUAUAAUGGGGUUUCAUCCCCAUGGAAUUCUUAGUGUGAGUGCUUUCUGUCAUUUUGCGACGGAAGGGUCGGGAUGGAGUAAAAUAUUUCCAGGAAUAACGCCGUAUUUACUGGUACUUCCGGGCCAUUUCCAGUUUCCGGUUUACAGAGAUUACUUCAUGGCUGGUGGAGCAGUGGAAGCGUCAUCAGAGAGCAUGAAAUUUCUUCUAACGAAGCACGGAACCGGAAAUGCACUCGGUCUCGUGGUGGGCGGGGCAUUAGAAGCAUUGGAAGCUUUUCCCGGAAAAUUUAAUUUAAAGCUUGCUAAGAAAAAAGGUUUCAUCAAAGUGGCACUCACAACGGGGUAACUUUUUGAAAUUUUACUGUUGCUCUGAAUUUUUUGUUGCCUAGAUUUUAAUGUCGUUGAUAUAGGCAAUAUACUUUUAUUUGCUACUAUGUACACUUGUGAAAAUUCUGUUUUGAUAUAACAGGGCAUGUUUAGUUCCCAUGUUUUCUUUUGGUGAACACGAAUUGUUCGUACAAGCGGAGAAUCCCGAGGGGUCCCGAUUGAGAAAUAUUCAAAACUGGCUAACGAAAUACACUGGAUUCUCUCCCCCUGUUUUUCACGGCAGAGGCAUGUUCAACUAUACGUUUGGUCUUGUUCCAUAUAGAAUACCAGUUUACACAGUGGGUAAGAAAUGUUCUUGGAUCUUUAUCAAAAUGUUAAUUUAAUGGUUGAAACAUAAUCAUUGAAGCCAUGGUAAGGUAGAAUCAAUUCAAUAAAUAGUAAAUUUUGAUAUGAUAUUAAAUUAGUUAAAUAUGGAAGAAAUAUUUGUUGAUUUAAAAUUGACAUAUAACAUACGUACAUGUACUUAAUCAGACGAAAAAAUGUUAUCAUAUAUCAACUACAGACACACGUUUCUUAAAUAGGCUUUAUUUACAGAAACAGUGUCUAUGGUUUAGCAUGUUGAUGAUAAAUAAAAAUGGUUUCACUUUUGGUAAUCACAAAAAAGGAAGAAGAGGUUUAAAAAAAAUCUCGAUGCUAAGAUAUAGGAUUGAAAAGAGCAACAUUUUCUUUCAGUUGGAGCUCCAAUAGAGGUACAAAAGGACGACAACCCAUCCCAAGAGAAGAUCGACGAACUUCAUAAAACUUACCUAAAGGAAUUAGAAAAGCUGUUUGAGACACACAAGACCAAGUAUGGUGUCGCCGAAGACAAACAUAUACAUUUCAUUGAAUGAUACGGCGGACAUUGGCCUUGAUGUUGCCAUUAUGUCCUAGGAUAUGUUCUGAUUCCACUGCAUACAGACCAGCAUAUAUGCUCUUUGUGCUUUAUAAGUGUAUUGAGACGUUACGAAUGCAUAAUAUAAAUGCAUUUUUUUUUCAUACAUUGCUUAUUAUAAAUCAAUCAAGCAUAAACAUUG
rnacentral:misc_RNA from 1 species